rnacentral:lncRNA from 1 species
GAUACUAAUGUAAGUGAGAUAAGAGACAGACUGUCUGUGGGCUGGGAGGAAGUGGAUCCUGGUGACAUCCACCUGGAAAUGUGCUUGCGGAUUUGUCUGAAAUAAAAACGUUGAGAAGCCAAACACGAUGUCCAAGAGGUGGGGAGGGAGCAGGGAUGGGAAGGGUAAUCAGUGAUCAGCUCCGUGCACUCUCAUCUCUCGAAGAAAAAGCUCCCACUAAUAAUUUCCUUAAUAAGAGAAUUCCUGCACUAACUAGCACUUCCUCACUCUCUGAACAUGGCUCUCACACUAGUCCAUAAGCUGUGUUCCUGCAUUGCCAGAGAGCUGGGUGGGUGUUAGCACAAUUUAAGGAAUUAAAAUGUCAUUAAGGGGGUGCGUGGAGCACACCCUUCCCUGUCGGACACCAUGCCAGCAGGAAAAUGCCAGUGAGCUCAGCAUAUCUGAUGCCUUUGGCUUAGGUUAUCUACAACCAGCUGAGUACCAGGAAGGAGCUCUCCUGAAUCUCAGCCUGUGAAACCAGAGAAGGCAAAAUUAUAUCUCUGGUCCUGUGAGGGCGGCCAUGAGACAGGCGAUGGAGACAAUCCUGCUGGGUGGAGAAGGGGAGAUUUCCCUGCUGGGAACCUUGGAAUCCAGCACGUCCCCAGGACCAUUACACCAUAUCCAUUUCUAAAUCCUGAUUUGGAGGCUGCUAUUGGCAUUUCACAUCCUCUGAGGAGUCUGUGCCCGGCGGCAAACCGACAUUCACUUCCCCCCGCAUGACAUAAUGCCUGUUUUCAUCCUGUCUAGGGGAUAUAAAAAAAAGAUAAUGUCAGCUUAAAAAAAAAUGACAUCACUAUUGAGCCACUUUACAGCUCUCUGCUUCUCUCUCUCCUGUGUCUCCAUCUCCACAUCCCACCUGUGUUACCUGUUGCUCAGCAGCCCAAGGACCUUCCUGCAGCCACUGCACAAGCUGGAGUGGGUGACCACCACGACCAUCUCCAUUGGUUCUUAGCAGUUCUGCCACGGUUUGUGUGUGUUUCGUUUGACCUGGGUCUAAUGAGCACAGAAGAGGAGCUGCAGACACACAAUCAAGGCUCAGCCGCCGAGGCUGAUGAGUCUGCCGAGACUGCUAAGUGGGUCUUCAUUAGCAAUUCACAUGCGAGGAGCAACCCUUAUUUAUUCUUCUUUCCUAGGUGA